rnacentral:lncRNA from 1 species
UCCGACCCCGAGAUGGGUCUUCCCGCUGCUUCAGCUGGUUCUGUAAACCCCUUCAGCGACAAGUACAUCCGAAUGGGUUUCAUUCGGAAGGUGUACGCAAUCCUCUCCGUGCAGCUCUUGAUAACCGCGGCCAUCAUCGCUGCUUUUAUAUUUGUGCCGGAACUCAACAAGUUCGCCAAGACGAACGGGUUAGCGAUGACC